rnacentral:rRNA from 1 species
GGUUCCGCUGCCCAAACUUGCAAGUUCGAAGCGGCAGAAGGGAGCUCGCUCCCGGAUGUUAGCGGCGGACGGGUGAGUAACACGUGGGUAACCUGCCUGUAAGACUGGGAUAACUCCGGGAAACCGGAGCUAAUACCGGAUAGUUCCUUGAACCGCAUGGUUCAAGGAUGAAAGACGGUUUCGGCUGUCACUUACAGAUGGACCCGCGGCGCAUUAGCUAGUUGGUGGGGUAAUGGCUCACCAAGGCGACGAUGCGUAGCCGACCUGAGAGGGUGAUCGGCCACACUGGGACUGAGACACGGCCCAGACUCCUACGGGAGGCAGCAGUAGGGAAUCUUCCGCAAUGGACGAAAGUCUGACGGAGCAACGCCGCGUGAGUGAUGAAGGUUUUCGGAUCGUAAAGCUCUGUUGUUAGGGAAGAACAAGUGCGAGAGUAACUGCUCGCACCUUGACGGUACCUAACCAGAAAGCCACGGCUAACUACGUGCCAGCAGCCGCGGUAAUAUGUAGGUGGCAAGCGUUGUCUGGAAUUAUUGGGCGUAAAGGUGCUCGCAGCGCGGUUUCUUAAGUCUGAUGUGAAAGCCCCCGGCUCAACCGGGGAGGGUCAUUGGAAACUGGGAAACUUGAGUGCAGAAGAGGAGAGUGGAAUUCCACGUGUAGCGGUGAAAUGCGUAGAGAUGUGGAGGAACACCAGUGGCGAAGGCGACUCUCUGGUCUGUAACUGACGCUGAGGAGCGAAAGCGUGGGGAGCGAACAGGAUUAGAUACCCUGGUAGUCCACGCCGUAAACGAUGAGUGCUAAGUGUUAGGGGGUUUCCGCCCCUUAGUGCUGCAGCUAACGCAUUAAGCACUCCGCCUGGGGGAGUACGGUCGCAAGACUGAAACUCAAAGGAAUUGACGGGGGCCCGCACAAGCGGUGGAGCAUGUGGUUUAAUUCGAAGCAACGCGAAGAACCUUACCAGGUCUUGACAUCCUCUGACAACCCUAGAGAUAGGGCUUUCCCUUCGGGGACAGAGUGACAGGUGGUGCAUGGUUGUCGUCAGCUCGUGUCGUGAGAUGUUGGGUUAAGUCCCGCAACGAGCGCAACCCUUGAUCUUAGUUGCCAGCAUUUAGUUGGGCACUCUAAGGUGACUGCCGGUGACAAACCGGAGGAAGGUGGGGAUGACGUCAAAUCAUCAUGCCCCUUAUGACCUGGGCUACACACGUGCUACAAUGGACAGAACAAAGGGCUGCAAGACCGCAAGGUUUAGCCAAUCCCAUAAAUCUGUUCUCAGUUCGGAUCGCAGUCUGCAACUCGACUGCGUGAAGCUGGAAUCGCUAGUAAUCGCGGAUCAGCAUGCCGCGGUGAAUACGUUCCCGGGCCCUUGUACAACACCGCCCGUCACAACCACGAGAAGUUUGCAACCAACCCGAAAGUCGGUGGAGGUAAACCUUUAAGGAGCCAAGCCGCCGAAAGUGACGU